UGGGGAAUUUUGCACAAUGGGGGAAACCCUGAUGCAGCGACGCCGCGUGAUUUAGAAGGCCUUCGGGUUGUAAAAAUCUUUUCUAUGGGAAGAAAAUGACAGUACCAUAGGAAUAAGGACCGGCUAAUUACGUGCCAGCAGCCGCGGUAAUACGUAAGGUCCGAGCGUUGUCCGGAAUCAUUGGGCGUAAAGGGUACGUAGGCGGGUAAGCAAGUUAGAAGUGAAAUCCUAUAGCUCAACUAUAGUAAGCUUUUAAAACUGCUCAUCUUGAGGUAUGGAAGGGAAAGUGGACUUCCUAGUGUAGCGGUGAAAUGCGCAGAUAUUAGAAGGAAUACCGGUGGCGAAGGCGACUUUCUGGCCAUAACCUGACGCUGAGGUACGAAAGCGUGGGUAGCAAACAGG
rnacentral:rRNA from 1 species